CCCUUAGAUGUCCUGGGCCGCACGCGCGCUACACUGAUGCAUUCAACGAGCCUAUCCUUGACCGACAGGUCCGGGUAAUCUUUGAAUCUGCAUCGUGACGGGGAUAGAUUAUUGCAAUUAUUAAUCUUCAACGAGGAAUGCCUAGUAGGCGCAAGUCAUCAGCUUGCGUCGAUUACGUCCCUGCCCUUUGUGCACACCGCCCGUCGCUCCUACCGAUUGGGUGUGCUGGUGAAAUGUUCGGAUCGGCCGUUUGUCGCGGUUUCCGCGUCAUGUGGCUGAGAAGUUCAUUAAACCCUCCCACCUAGAGGAAGGAGAAGUCGUAACA
rnacentral:rRNA from 1 species